rnacentral:rRNA from 1 species
GAUAAACGCUAGCGGCAGGCUUAACACAUGCAAGUCGAGGGGCAGCAUAGAUUGUAGCAAUACAAUUGGUGGCGACCGGCGCACGGGUGCGUAACGCGUAUGCAACCUACCCGUCACAGGGGGAUAAUCCGGAGAAAUCUGGUCUAAUACCCCAUAACAUAUGGAUCGGCAUCGGUUCAUGUUGAAAUUUUCGGAGGUGACGGAUGGGCAUGCGUAGCAUUAGCUUGUUGGUGAGGUAACGGCUCACCAAGGCGACGAUGCUUAGGGGGACUGAGAGGUGUUCCCCCCAGACUGGUACUGAGACACGGACCAGAAUCCUACGGGAGGCAGCAGUGAGGAAUAUUGGUCAAUGGGCGCAAGCCUGAACCAGCCAUGCCGCGUGCAGGAUGACGGCUCUAUGAGUUGUAAACUGCUUUUGUACGAGGGUAAAGUGGGUUACGUGUAACCUUUUGAAAGUAUCGUACGAAUAAGGAUCGGCUAACUCCGUGCCAGCCGCCGCCGUAA